rnacentral:rRNA from 1 species
GAUGAACGCUGGCGGCGUGCUUAACACAUGCAAGUCGAACGGUGAACACGGAGCUUGCUCUGUGGGAUCAGUGGCGAACGGGUGAGUAACACGUGAGCAACCUGCCCCUGACUCUGGGAUAAGCGCUGGAAACGGCGUCUAAUACUGGAUAUGUGACGUGAUCGCAUGGUCUGCGUCUGGAAAGAAUUUCGGUUGGGGAUGGGCUCGCGGCCUAUCAGCUUGUUGGUGAGGUAAUGGCUCACCAAGGCGUCGACGGGUAGCCGGCCUGAGAGGGUGACCGGCCACACUGGGACUGAGACACGGCCCAGACUCCUACGGGAGGCAGCAGUGGGGAAUAUUGCACAAUGGGCGCAAGCCUGAUGCAGCAACGCCGCGUGAGGGAUGACGGCCUUCGGGUUGUAAACCUCUUUUAGCAGGGAAGAAGCGAAAGUGACGGUACCUGCAGAAAAAGCGCCGGCUAACUACGU